rnacentral:rRNA from 1 species
UCCUACGGGAGGCAGCAGUGGGGAAUAUUGCACAAUGGGCGAAAGCCUGAUGCAGCAACGCCGCGUGAGCGAUGAAGGCCUUUGGGUCGUAAAGCUCUGUCCUUGGGGACGAAAAAAAUGACGGUACCCUUGGAGGAAGCCCCGGCUAACUACGUGCCAGCAGCCGCGGUAAUACGUAGGGGGCAAGCGUUAUCCGGAAUUAUUGGGCGUAAAGGGUGCGUAGGUGGUUUUGUAAGCGCGGGGUGAAAGGCAAUAGCUUAACUAUUGUAAGCCUUUCGAACUGUAAGACUUGAGUGCAGGAGAGGAAAGCGGAAUUCCUAGUGUAGCGGUGAAAUGCGUAGAUAUUAGGAGGAACACCAGUGGCGAAGGCGGCUUUCUGGACUGUAACUGACACUGAGGCACGAAAGCGUGGGGAGCAAACAGGAUUAGAUACCCCAGUAGUCA